UUUGUAUCUGAUCAAUCCAGCUGUCGUGUCUCUGCAAGUGAAACCAAAAGCUCAGGUGGUCAGUGAGCUGUUUCAGACCUCCGUCACACAACUGAAAACUGAGGUCAUAAGCGUUGAUUCCAGCACGACUAUGGUCCUUAGCCGGGACCCGAAGGAAUCGGUGUGUGAAGUGUGCACCGCUGAAGGCCCCACUCUCACCUGCAGCACGGAAAAGACGCUGAACAAUGUUGACAAACUGUCAUUGGUGUUCAGCUGCCCGAAACCUCAAGAUGGGUUCAAUGUGAAGAUAAAAAAGACAAUAGAAUGCACCAAGACUUCCUGC
ensembl:lncRNA